rnacentral:rRNA from 1 species
GGCGAGUGGCGAACGGGUGAGUAAUAUAUCGGAACGUACCCUGGAGUGGGGGAUAACGUAGCGAAAGUUACGCUAAUACCGCAUACGAUCCAAGGAUGAAAGCAGGGGACCGCAAGGCCUUGUGCUCCUGGAGCGGCCGAUAUCUGAUUAGCUAGUUGGUAGGGUAAAAGCCUACCAAGGCAUCGAUCAGUAGCUGGUCUGAGAGGACGACCAGCCAC